rfam:Oryza sativa Japonica Group DNA, chromosome 11, cultivar: Nipponbare, complete sequence.
AAAAAGGCAAACCGUGGGUUUCCGUGCCAACGUUUGACUGUCCGUCUUAUAUGAAAAAUUUUUAUAAUUAGUAUUUUCAUUGUUGUUAGAUGAUAAAACAUGAUUAAUACUUUAUGCGUGACUUAUCUUUUUAAUUUUUUUCAUAUUUUUUUAAAUAAGACGGACGGUCAAAUGUUGGACACGGAAACCAGGGUUUGUCUUUUU